rnacentral:rRNA from 1 species
AAAGGAAUUGACGGGGGCCCGCACAAGCGGUGGAGUAUGUGGUUUAAUUCGAUGCAACGCGAAGAACCUUACCAGGGCUUGACAUCCCGGGAACCCGCCGGAAACGGGGGGGUGCCUUUCGGGGAGCCCGGAGACAGGUGGUGCAUGGCUGUCGUCAGCUCGUGUCGUGAGAUGUUGGAUUAAGUUCCGCAACGAGCGCAACCCUCGUUGGAUGUUGCCAGCGGUUCGGCCGGGCACUCAUCCGAGACUGCCGCAGCAAUGUGGAGGAAGGUGGGGAUGACGUCAAGUCAGCAUGCCCCGUACGCCCUGGGCUACACACAUACUACAAUGCGAGGCGCAAUCGGUUGCCAACCCGCGAGGGGGAGCCAAUCCGCCAAGGCCUCGCUCAGUGCAGAUUGCAGGCUGCAACUCGCCUGCAUGAAGGCGGAAUCGCUAGUAACCGUCGGUCAGCAUUACGACGGUGAAUACGUUCCCGGGCCUUGUACACACCGCCCGU